GCCUACGAUCACACUACGUUGAAAACACCGCAUUCCGUCAGAUCUGCGAAGUUAAGCAACGUUAGGCCGAGUUAUACCGUGGUUGGUGACAACAUGGGAACUCUCGGUGUCGUAGGCA
rnacentral:rRNA from 1 species